AAGCCGAACAGGCUCGCUAUGAAGGCCUUGUCACUGAGCAAGGAUACAACAAUCUGGUCAGGGAUGUGUUUGAGGAUGCCGGCCUCCUAAAAAGUCAAAAAGCGGCCAGGAAGCCGCCCCGGGUCGAAGCUGAAGUGGAAACGCACGACUCUUUACAGAAAUGUAAUGAGGACUUCCACAAGCAGCGAGAAGAGAUCGCGAGACUGCGAGCCCUGCUCACUCAUCACAAUAUCGCUUUCGAUGCAGAACCAGGUUAGACA